UGGUUAAGUGAAUAAGGGCGUACGGUGAAUGCCUUGGCACUAGGAGCCGAUGAAGGACGGGACGAACACCGAUAUGCUUCGGGGAGCUGUAAGUAAGCUUUGAUCCGGAGAUUUCCGAAUGGGGGAACCUCAUUGUUUUCAUCGACAAUGGUCCACUCAGUGAACACAUAGCUGAGUGGAAGGUAGACGUGGUGAACUGAAACAUCUCAGUAGCCACAGGAAGAGAAAGAAAAAUCGAUUUCCCGAGUAGCGGCGAGCGAAACGGAAAGAGGCCAAACCAGUGUGCUUGCAUGCUGGGGUUGUAGGACUGAUGGACGGGAGUGAAUGAGCUAGUCGAACGCCAUGGAAAGGGCGAUCAGAGAGGGUGACAAUCCCGUAGGCGAAAGCUCAGCCACCUCAUUCAGUAUCCUGAGUACGGCGGUACACGUGAAAUUCCGUCGGAAUCCGCCAGGACCAUCUGGCAAGCCUAAAUACUCCCUAGUGACCGAUAGUGAACCAGUACCGUGAGGGAAAGGUGAAAAGCACCCCGGAAGGGGAGUGAAAGAGUACCUGAAACCGUAUGCCUACAAGCAGUCAGAGCCCGUUAAGGGGUGAUGGCGUACUUUUUGUAGAACGGACCGGCGAGUGACGAUAGCAAGCAAGGUUAAGCUGAAGAAGCGGAGCCACAGCGAAAGCGAGUCUGAAGAGGGCGUUGAGUUUGUUGUCGUCGACCCGAAACCAAGUGAUCUACUCAUGUCCAGGCUGAAGGUGUGGUAAAACACACUGGAGGGCCGAACCCACGUCUGUUGAAAAAGGCGGGGAUGAGGUGUGGGUAGCGGUGAAAUUCCAAUCGAACUUGGAGAUAGCUGGUUCUCUCCGAAAUAGCUUUAGGGCUAGCCUCGGAUGAUGACUAUUGGAGGUAGAGCACUGUUUGAUCGAGGGGUCCAUCCUGGAUUACCGACAUCUGAUAAACUCCGAAUGCCAAAUAGUUUAGUCCGGGAGUCAGACUGCGAGUGAUAAGAUCCGUAGUCGAAAGGGAAAGAGCCCAGACCACCAGCUAAGGUCCCAAAGUUUCAGUUAAGUGGAAAAGGAUGUGGGGUUGCUUAGACAACUAGGAUGUUGGCUUAGAAGCAGCCAUCAUUGAAAGAGUGCGUAAUAGCUCACUAGUCGAGUGACCCUGCGCCGAAAAUGUACCGGGGCUAAACUGAACACCGAAGCUGUGGAUCCGUAGGAUGGUAGGAGAGCGUUCUAUAGGCAGAGAAGCAUGAUCGUGAGGACAUGUGGAGCGUAUAGAAGUGAGAAUGCCGGUAUGAGUAGCGAAAGACGGGUGAGAAUCCCGUCCACCGAAUGACUAAGGUUUCCUGGGGAAGGCUCGUCCUCCCAGGGUUAGUCGGGACCUAAGCCGAGACCGAAAGGGAUAGGCGAUGGACAACAGGUUGAGAUUCCUGUACUUGUUUGAUUUGUUUGAGCGAUGGAAGGACACAGAAGGCUAAGCGGAGCGCGGAGAUGGAAAAACGCGUCCAAGCAAUGAGUGAGAAGGUGAGUGAAAGGCUUGCCUCAGACUUCAUGAGUUGUGACGGGGAGGGAAGUUUAGUACCGAAGCCGCCGACGUCACGCUGUCAAGAAAAGUUUCUAGUGAGAAUCAAACAACCCGUACCGCAAACCGACACAGGUAGUCGAGUGGAGAACACUAAGGUGAGCGAGCGAACUCUCGUUAAGGAACUCGGCAAAAUGACCCCGUAACUUCGGGAGAAGGGGUGCUGACCGCAAGGUCAGCCGCAGUGAAUAGGCCCAAGCGACUGUUUAUCAAAAACAUAGGUCUCUGCCAAAUCGAAAGAUGAUGUAUAGAGGCUGACGCCUGCCCGGUGCUGGAAGGUUAAGAGGAAGGGUUAGCAUAAGCGAAGCUCUGAAUUGAAGCCCCAGUAAACGGCGGCCGUAACUAUAACGGUCCUAAGGUAGCGAAAUUCCUUGUCAGGUAAGUUCUGACCCGCACGAAAGGCGUAACGAUUUGGGCACUGUCUCAACGAGAGGCUCGGUGAAAUUGUAGUACCAGUGAAGAUGCUGGUUACCCGCGACAGGACGGAAAGACCCCAUGGAGCUUUACUGUAGGUUGAUAUUGAAUGUUUGUGCCACAUGUACAGGAUAGGUAGGAGCCAUCGAAGUCGGGACGCUAGUCUCGAUGGAGGCACUGGUGGGAUACUACCCUUGUGGGAUGACCAUUCUAACCCGCGACCAUUAGCUGGUCGGGAGACAGUGUCAGUCAGGCAGUUUGACUGGGGCGGUCGCCUCCUAAAGUGUAACGGAGGCGCCCAAAGGUUCCCUCAGAAUGGUUGGAAAUCAUUCGCAGAGUGUAAAGGCAGAAGGGAGCUUGACUGCGAGACCUACAAGUCGAGCAGGGACGAAAGUCGGGCUUAGUGAUCCGGUGGUUCCGCAUGGAAGGGCCAUCGCUCAACGGAUAAAAGCUACCCUGGGGAUAACAGGCUUAUCUCCCCCAAGAGUUCACAUCGACGGGGAGGUUUGGCACCUCGAUGUCGGCUCAUCGCAUCCUGGGGCUGAAGUCGGUCCCAAGGGUUGGGCUGUUCGCCCAUUAAAGCGGUACGCGAGCUGGGUUCAGAACGUCGUGAGACAGUUCGGUCCCUAUCCGUCGCGGGCGUUGGAAAUUUGAGAGGAGCUGUCCUUAGUACGAGAGGACCGGGAUGGACACACCGCUGGUGUACCAGUUGUUCCACCAGGAGCAUGGCUGGGUAGCUAUGUGUGGACGGGAUAAGCGCUGAAAGCAUCUAAGCGUGAAGCCCCCCUCAAGAUGAGAUUUCCCAUACUUUGAAAGUAGUAAGACCCCUGAAAGACGAUCAGGUUGAUAGGUUUGGAGUGGAAGCUUAGCAAUAAGUGGAGCGGACAAAUACUAAUCGGUCGAGGACUUAUCCAAA
rnacentral:rRNA from 1 species